rnacentral:rRNA from 1 species
UACGGAGGGGGUUAGCGUUGUUCGGAAUGACUGGGCGUAAAGCGCGCGUAGGCGGAUCAGGAAGUUGGGGGUGAAAUCCCGGGGCUCAACCCCGGAAUGGCCUUCAAAACUCCUGGUCUUGAGCACGGUAGAGGCAGAUGGAAUUCCCGGUGUAGCGGUGGAAUGCGUAGAGAUCGGGAAGAACACCAGUGGCGAAGGCGGUCUGCUGGGCCGUUGCUGACGCUGAGGCGCGACAGCGUGGGGAGCAAACAGG